rnacentral:rRNA from 1 species
CCUACGGGAGGCUGCAGUGAGGAAUAUUGGUCAAUGGACGAGAGUCUGAACCAGCCAAGUAGCGUGAAGGAUGACUGCCCUAUGGGUUGUAAACUUCUUUUAUAUGGGAAUAAAACGUUCCACGUGUGGGAUUUUGUAUGUACCAUAUGAAUAAGGAUCGGCUAACUCCGUGCCAGCAGCCGCGGUAAUACGGAGGAUCCGAGCGUUAUCCGGAUUUAUUGGGUUUAAAGGGAGCGUAGGUGGAUUGUUAAGUCAGUUGUGAAAGUUUGCGGCUCAACCGUAAAAUUGCAGUUGAAGCUGGCAGUCUUGAGUACAGUAGAGGUGGGCGGAAUUCGUGGUGUAGCGGUGAAAUGCUUAGAUAUCACGAAGAACUCCGAUUGCGAAGGCAGUUCACUGGACUGCAACUGACACUGAGGCUCGAAAGUGUGGGUAUCAAACAGGAUUAGAUACCCGUGUAGUC